rnacentral:lncRNA from 1 species
GUACAUCCUGCCCAGCACUCUGCCUCCAGCGGGGAGGUCACGUGAAUGGCAGCCCUUGUGGUGGGACCCUGGGUGACAUUCUUCCUGUCCUCUUGAGCCUGUGGAACUCUUUUCCUCUGAAACCCCACGUGUCUGUGUGUGUGCGUUGCUUCUCCUGAGGGGAAGAUUUUUGGUAACAAGGGCGAUGCUGUCUGCAAGACUGAGCACUUGUACGGGGUCUGGCGUGGGGUGGGGGGCACAUGGCCGGAACAGCUGCUCUCCCUUGGGCACAGAGAAAGGUCCAGGGAGGGGGCCUGCCCUUGGGGGCCACGGAGAAGGCAGUGCAAAGCCAUGGAAGUUUCUGAGUGUUGUUUCUUGCACACAGACUGGGUUCUAGAACCUCUGAGAGGAGAAGGGGUCCUCUGUACCCCCAGCCAGCAGCCCGCGUGUGCUGGGUGCUGGAGCCAAGCUCCGGUGUGGCUGCUUGAUGGCUUCUGUCCUCUGGGCCGGCCCAGGACGGCGGCUCUCUGUUUAUUGCAACUGUGCUUGGCUUUGGUGGUUAGAAUGAGCCUGCUGGUGAUAUAAAUGGGUGAAAAUCCCUUUUCUUGGAGGCCUGACAUAGAAAUGAUGGAAAGGGGCCCUUUCACGGUGUGUCCCUGGUGUUUGCACGUCUUUAACGAGUCCCGAAGGGGAGAGAUUCUAGGUCUGUAAUGCCUUCCCACUGGCCUAGGAGUUUGGUGGAGUCUAGGUUUACAUGGAUCUUGAAACUGCUUACUGGUACCGUUUGUUUGAGAUGUGGGGGACGCCAGGCUGGUCUUUGCGGCAGAGCUGAGGUUCUUGCUGACCUGAGUUCUGGUCCAGUUUAUCCAACCUCUCUGGCUGCCUCUCUGUGGGUCUGGUGGGAUCUGGAGAGGCUGGGGACAGGUGCCACAGAGAGGACGGGCCCCAGGGCAGGCAUGUGGAGCCACUGUGGUUCCGAAACACAGCUGUGACCUGAUCCAGUCCUGUAUCUCUCGGAGAGGCUCUUAAAAGAAGGUUUGAAGGGGCUCCCUUUGCCCUCUGCUCAGUCGGAGCCUGUCUCCAUGGCCCAGGACAGGUAGGCGAAAGGACAGUGGCUGCAGACCGGGUGGCCCCCCCUCCCCCCCACCAGUGGGUGGAGGGUGGUACGGCGGUGUCUGCCAAGAUAGCCCCCAGACCCCCUAUGUGUCACACACAUCAUCCAUCAGUCUUAUAGACCCUGGCAGGUCUGCUGGUGGCUAAGAAUGGGACUCUGGGGUCGGGACAGCCCUUCCUGGUGGUCCUUUGUGGGACCCAGAAAGCACCUGCCUUUUCACAGGAGACAGACGGGGUCACCAAAGGUCCCCUAGAGUCCCCCCCCCACACACUGUGACCCUAUGUGGAGUGGGGAGGGGUGUUCAGCUGUGGUUCCUCUGGGCCCGUGUGUCCUGAGAUCUCCUCUGUGGGGGGUCGGGUAAGGAGCCUGCCAUCUGCACGGAGAUCCAGGUUCGGUUUCGAGAAACCGCGGCCUCCAAGUCUGGGUUUCCUCAUCUGCGACACGUGGGUGUUUGCGGGGACUCAGGCCAUGGUGUAUUGCCUGAGCCUGGCUCCCGGGUGGCUGUAGCUGUUUGUCCCCCUGCCCUCUGUCUGGUGUCACCCUUGGUCUCUCGAGCUGCCCUGGAAAAUACUCUCCCCUCUUUAAGCAAAACGAAGGGAGGGGUGAAGAGGUGGAGGGAGGCCUGGCGGCUCUGCGUCGGGGCUGGGGGGCUGUCCUGGUAUCGUCCUGCGGGCUGGGGCACACCUGCCCCCUGCAGGGAUGGGUGCAGAUGUGGCAAGAGGUUGGCUGUGGGCGAGCGAGCCCAGCGGACUCCCAGGUAGGGUUGUGGGGCGGGGUGAUGACCAGGGUCGGGGGAGGCCAGGCUGCCCGUCGAGACCCCUCCCGGUGGUGUGGGCGCCUGCACGACGUGUCCACCACUGUGUCCCUGGGGCCCAGACCAGGCCUGUCACCGUGAGGCCUGCGCACCACCCACACCCAGCUCAGAGUGCCUGGACGCCUGCCAGCCGCCCGGCUUGAGCCCCUCGCCCCGUGAAGCUGAGGCUUCUGUGUGUCUCCAAGGAGCUGGCGAGCCCAGCAUCCCGCGCUGUGAGCUGCGUGCAGACCGCAGCCUGGCAAUUAGCGCUGAAAUCCGGCUUUCCCCGCCAGACGUGAAAGUGCCCGGGCCUGAGUCAUGGGACCGCGGCAGCGGGCGCUUCACAGAGCGCGUGACCCAGGGCGGCGGGAGGGGCAGGGUGGGCUCCCUGACCCUCUCGCCGGCCUCGGACCCCUCGCAUAAUCCUGUGGAAUGUACACACUCUGCCCGGAGCCUCGCACGCAGCACGUUCACUCCAGACUCCCAGCCGCUGGGUUCCCGGACCCCCACGGCCUUGGCUUCUCCCCGAGACGGUGCCCCCACGUGACAGCCAGGAGACUGAGGCCACCGGGGGUGGGAGCCCAGGCUGUGGCGCCCUCCUCCCCCCCAGCCAUCUUUGUCACCCGCAUGGGGACACACGGAGUCUGGUGAGGGUGGAGAGCGGCAGGGGCCCGGGACGGUGUGGUGGCCACACCGGGCACUUGCUGGAUUGGGUGCGGAGUGUCUGUCCCGGACCCUGGGAAGCACUGCCCACCCGGGCCUCCCCACCCUGGCUUUGGGGGGGUCAGACCCCUUACAGGGAGCCGUCUAGGAAACUGUCCACCUUUCUCUUUGCUUCACGAACGAGCUUCCAGGGCCAGGCGGGCCCUGUCCCGUGCCCACGUUGGUCUCCAGUUCCUGCCCCUCCUUCCGUGACUCACAGCAGGUGCCAGAGACCGGGGGCAUGUGAGUCCACCCCCUGUCCGUGUGACCUUCCUGGGCCCUCAUCUGGAUUGCUGGCUGGGGGCCCAGAGCAACCCCUGUCCCCACCCUGGGCUUUGCCCUGUUCUGUCCCCACCAGCAGGACGCUGCCCAGCCCAGCAGCUCCUUGGCUGUGAUGGUCGGGACCCUAGCAGGAGGCCCCCACCCAUCUUUCUUCAGUCCUAGGGGCUCCUGAACCUGUCCUCCUAGGGGCUCCUGAACUGAACUACCCUCAGAUCUGCCUCCUGGCUGGGUUGUGCCCCUGGGCUGCACCCACGCCUCCGCUGGGGUUCGGGGGGAUAUACGUGCUCUGAAGGCUUCACCCUGAUGCGGGCAGCCUAGUCCAUGCUGAGUCACCCUGACCUUGGCUGCUGGCUGACAACCCAAUCAUCUGCGAGUCGCCCCAAAUGUAGCUAGUGCAGAACCGAGGCCACUGUCCGGAGCCAUGGGCCCACGGCGGGCCCCCACUGUAACCCUGCAGCCAGCCCAGUGUUUUGUCCCUGUCCCCGUGAGCUGGUAUGGGAUUCGGCCCUCAGCAUGGACACAGGUCCCCUUCCAGGGGACCGGCUGGCUGUGUGACCUGGGGCCAGGUGCUUGGCCUCUCUGGGCCUGUUUCGGAGAGAGCCUGGGGCGGGGCAGAGCUGGGUGGAGGGUGUAUGACUCAGCCUGUCCAUUGCAACAGGGGUCUGGUGUCAGAGGGACUGUCCAGGAAAGAGGCACAGCGGAGCAGGUGCGCCUGGCCAGUGGACACCCUGGGGGAGCAGGUGCUUCCCCCACUGCGGUGCAGGAGGUGGGUGGAGGGGGCCUGGCUGGAGCCACUUAAGGCCUGGCUACCCCACUCGGUAGGAGCCACAUGUUACUUAGAGCUGAGGGAAAGGACGAAGGGGGUGUGGGGGAGGGGUGCUGGGGACAGAAGUCCCCCCAGGGAGCCUGAAGGAUGGGGCAGGGGGUGAACGGGUCUGCUCGCCUCUGCUGAGACACAGAGGGACCUCGGGGGUCCGCACGUGGCCUUAUCACAGGUACAAUGAGUGUCCCUUAGUCUUGCGGGGAGGGGUCUCUCAGCUCAGCUUCAGUUCCUCUCAGGUCCACACGUCCUGGGGUGGCCCUGCCUGGUUGCGGGGGGGCACGCAAGAAUACAUCCUGUAGCUUAAUGAGGCAGGGGCCGUGGCCGGGACAGGCAGUGCUCCAGGCACGUCCUGCUCAAGACACCUGUCCAAGGCCCUCCCCUCCCCACCCCUAAUACAACAGCCUGCUUCAGACUCGGGUCUGAACCAGUGCGAGGCCAUGCCCCCUACUCAGCCGGCCCCUCAUGGGUUUGUGGAGGGUGGAGCUCUGUGGGUGUUGCCCCCCCACCCCCGUGGUGGGUCUCCCUGGCUGCACCUAGCAAGGUGGGAGCACAGUGUGUGGGGGGAAAGCAGUGGCGGGUGGGGAGCAGGGGGUGGGACCUCUCCGGGCAGCCAGAGUUGAAGGACUCUGUUAAGUGUCCAGAGCACUGGAGUUGGACUUAGGAAGCCCGGGUGGACUCGCCCCAUUCCCCUGGUGAUGGCUGUGUGACUUCCAACAAGUCGGACAACCUCUCUGAGCUCCAUGGACCCCAGCUGGCAAAUGAAGGUGCUGGGGAAGCUGCAGCAGGUUUGGGUGGGGCUGUGGUGGGAGUUUGCAGGCCCCGAAGGUGCGGGCCGGGGAUGAGAUUGAUCCCAGAGUCCCUGCACAUACAGCCUUGGCUGUCCUCAGCAGUGACCGCUCGGAUUAGUAACCUGGAGGCAAGCUGGACGCCGCGUUUGCCGGUCAGAAUUCACCCAAUUCACCCAUGGGGCCGGCAGCGGUAUUCCUGUUUAGCUGAUGAGGCAGCAGGCUCAAACCUGCUAAGUUCGCUGUCCAGAGUCCCACAGCGUGUCAGAAAUCUAGGCCAAUUUAGGGCGGGGGCUCCUUCCUAUGCAUCCUGGCUGUUCCUGGGGCCCUGGAAGCGGGGGGCUUGGGAACCGCUGUAUUCUGCAGGGCUCUGCUUCAGAAGAACCCAAAAAAGUGAGCCAUGGCCCCUAGCAGGGCUUCCUGCCACCCUCCGCAGACCUCAGAGUGGACUGAAUCUGCCUUUUUCUGAGGAGUUUUGAAAUGAAGUGUCAACCCUGUCCCCGAUGCCCCUGUUCCAGACAUGCGGCCAGGGCAGCUCUGUGGCUGGGAGUCACCCAGUCCCGGUUACAAAUGGAAAACCUGAAACACAUGUUCCAGGGCUGGUUGCACUUGAAAAAGUGGCACAGCCUCUUAAUAAUUCUUUUUGCAGGAAAUCAGUGACUCGACAGGGGCGGGGGCGUUUGAAGGGGCGGUGUCCCGAUGGGCCUGAGGUUUCAGGUCUGGCUGCUCCUGGGAGACUGGACCUGGGUUGGGUGCCAUCCGAGCAGCCUCAGCCCCUGGCAGUUCCUUUAUUUUCCUUCGGUUCUCUGGACACUCUGGAGGCUUCUGUCUUUUCAUUUUAUUUUAUUUCAUUUUAUUUUACUUUGCUUUUUAGGGCCACGACUGUGGCAUACAGAGAUUCCCAGGCUAGGGGUUGAAUCCAAGCUACAGCUGCCGGCCUACACCGCGGCCACAGCAACGCGGCAUCCAAGCCAUGUCUGCGACCUACAGCACAGCUCACGGCAAUGCUGGGUCCCUAACCCACUGAGCCAGACCAGGGAUUGAAGCCACAACCUCAUGGUUCCUAGACAGAUUCGUUUCCACUGCGCCAUGACGGGAACUUGGAGGCUCUUGAGCGGGGUAGAUCCGAAGCCAGGCUGCUGCCCUGAGCGGGCUCCGCAUUCGAGGGUGUCUGGCGGUGAGGCCAGCGUUCUCACUUGUUUGCGUGCCACUGGCUCCUGUGUGUUCACUGUCUUGGAGCUGGUAGAGGUGACUUACCCGUCAUGAAGUCACCCCCCGGGUCUCCACGGGGUCCUGGGGACUCUGGCGUUGGUGUCCCUGAGCUGUGUGGGAGGCAGGGCCCUGCCGUAUGAGGUUGUCCCGGACGACGUCUGGGUGUCCAGCGCCGGGGCGCAGGGCCUGGCUCGCUGAGCACCCACUAAACCCUGCAUCCCCGUGUCCCGGGCGGCUUUGGACUGUGGGUAAAGGCAAGAUGGGACCCCAGAGCGACCAGAUGCUUUCUCAGUGGUCAUGUCUGCCUCAGGCCACCUGGGCCACUUAGAAGCCUGUGCUCACUGGCCCCAGGCCAGGAGCCUCAGCCCACCUGCAGCCAGGGCUCCAGGCCUGGAUGCCCAGUGAGAGCCCCUGGUCAGUGGGCGGAUUGGGCAGACGGGCAGGCUGCUGGGCCCUGGUCUGUGUGGCCAUAGGCUCAGUGGUCAGCUGGUACUGCUCUCUGGCCUGGUGCCAGUGGCUUCUCCAGUUCCUGUAGCCUGCGCAGCCUACCAGCAACGUCCGCUGCCGUCUCGGGGCCCACGGGGUGGGGGAGGCAGCAGAGCUCAUUGCCUGGCGUCUGGGCUGCUCCCAUCUGUGUGGAGCUGUCCUCGGCCUCCAACCCUCUCUGCCUCCAGUCCUGGCCCCAUUUAUCCAAAGAAUCCUCAAGAUUUGCGCAAAAAAAGCACAUUUUUCUAAGAGGCUCAUUUGAGGAACCCGCUGGUGGGUUCCAGGCUCUGGGGCUCUGCCCAGUGGGCCUGUGUCCAACCCAGGUGACAGCUGCACUCACCCCUUUUCAUGGUGGGGCACGGGGUGGGGAACAAUCCCUGCAACCCUGGACCAGGCAUGAGGGAGCCGCAGCCCCGUCAGAGACACAGGGGAGGGGGGGAGUGGGUUUUCUGACGAGUGGGGCGGGCCAGCCCCCGAUGCUCUGGUUCCACCUGGUCCCUUGAGCUCACAGCCUGGCUGUGGUGUGUGAGACCUCAGGUGAGCAGAGGCGGGGAGGGUGUGGGGCUUGGAGUCGGCGGCCACCCUGGGAGCACUCAGGGCCCUGGGUGAUGGAGUGAGCCUCAGGAUGCAGCAGGUGCUCGCACUGGGCCUGAGUAUACAGUGGGUGCGCGCACUGGGCCUGAGUAUACAGCGGGGGCGCGUACCGAGCCUCAGUAUACAACAGGUGCUCAUCCCUUGCCCUCGUGGCCAGGACCAUUGCUGGUUUUGUUUACGGGCGUCCACAGACUCCUAGGUACCAGACCUGAUAACUCCUGUCGGGUUUUACCCUCCUGGUAGAGUGGAUUUGGGUGUGUGUUCUGUGUUUGGUUUUGGUGUGUUUAAACCGGGACAGGCUCCCCUUGAACUGCGAGCCCUCCAGUGUGAGCGAGACAGCCAGCCGCUGGUCACAUAAAGGAGCCGUGAGACCUGCCCACAUGAAGUCCCGUCUCAGCAGUCAGGCCUGGGGGCAGACCCAGGGCUGGCGGCUGAGCCUGGAGGUGGAUCCCGGAGGCCUGGCCGUCGAGAUAACCAGGUCAGGCUGAGGUGAGAGUUCAGGCCAGGCCGUGCUGAGGGGAGAGGGAGCUGGGUGCUCAGAUAAGGACCCUCCUGGAGGCUGGUGACAAGCGGUCUUGGCAGGCACACCAAGGGCUCUUCCGCCUCUCACUGGACGUCAUGAGGACGGGGUGCAGGUAGAGCCCUGGGGGGCCCCUUGGCCGAGGGACAGAGACUCUGCAGGAGGCAGGGCUCCCCUGCCAGCCCUCUAGGUGGCUGUGUCACAGCAGGAGGACAGGACAGGCACAGCCCCGAAGGGCGGGCUCCUGCCUCUGCACGGGCCCCAGAGCCGCUCGCCUGCAGGCCACUGGGCUCUAUCUCCCCUGCCCCAGCUGUUGCUGUGCUUAUCUGGGGGUGCUGGCAAGGGAACCCCAAGAGUGAGCUCCUGACAGUGUGCCUGCCUCACCUCCCUCACCGGCCUGCCGGUGGCCUAGGGUGUGCUGUGUGUGUCCGCCGCCCCCACAGCACACAUGGUGGCGGCUGGGGGGCUGCGGACAAGUCUGGGUGUGACACUUGUUUCACCCAGAGCCUCCCCAGGCCCCAGCCCCCCAGCCUGCAGGUGCGGAAGCUGAAGCACCUUGUGCAGGUGAUGCAGCUGCGAACCCAGCCCCCCAGACUGCCCCCCAGGACCGCUUUGGUCAGGCUCACUGGCGACCCCUUUACUCUUCCGACUCUUUCAUUUGGAGGUUUUAGAAAGGACACUAUGGAGCCUGUGUUUACUCAUCAAGUCAAUGAGCAUUAAACUUUCAUCUUAAAAA